rnacentral:rRNA from 1 species
UACGUAGGGUGCGAGCGUUAAUCGGAAUUACUGGGCGUAAAGCGUGCGCAGGCGGUUUUGUAAGCCAGAUGUGAAAUCCCCGGGCUCAACCUGGGAAUGGCAUUUGGGACUGCAAGGCUGGAGUGCGGCAGAGGAGACUGGAAUUCCUGGUGUAGCAGUGAAAUGCGUAGAUAUCAGUCGGAACACCGGUGGCGAAGGCGGCUUCUUGGGCCGUUUCUGACGCUGAGGCGCGAAAGCCAGGGGAGCGAACGGG